rnacentral:rRNA from 1 species
GCCAGACUCCUACGGGAGGCAGCAGUGAGGAAUAUUGGUCAAUGGGCUUACGCCUGAACCAGCCAAGUCGCGUGAGGGAAGACUGCCCUAUGGGUUGUAAACCUCUUUUGUCAGGGAGCAAUUGGCGCUACGUGUAGCGUUAUCGAGAGUACCUGAAGAAAAAGCAUCGGCUAACUCCGUGCCAGCAGCCGCGGUAAUACGUAGGGGGCAAGCGUUAUCCGGAUUUACUGGGUGUAAAGGGAGCGUAGACGGCCAGACAAGUCAGAAGUGAAAGCCCAGGGCUCAACCCUGGGACUGCUUUUGAAACUGCCGGGCUGGAGUGCAGGAGAGGUAAGCGGAAUUCCUAGUGUAGCGGUGAAAUGCGUAGAUAUUAGGAGGAACACCAGUGGCGAAGGCGGCUUACUGGACUGUAACUGACGUUGAGGCUCGAAAGCGUGGGGAGCAAACAGGAUUAGAUACCCUGGUAU